rnacentral:rRNA from 1 species
UACGUAGGGUCCGAGCGUUGUCCGGAAUUACUGGGCGUAAAGAGCUCGUAGGUGGUUUGUCGCGUUGUUCGUGAAAACUCACAGCUCAGCUGUGGGCGUGCGGGCGAUACGGGCAGACUUGAGUACUGCAGGGGAGACUGGAAUUCCUGGUGUAGCGGUGGAAUGCGCAGAUAUCAGGAGGAACACCGAUGGCGAAGGCAGGUCUCUGGGCCGCAACUGACGCUGAGGAGCGAAAGCAUGGGGAGCGAACAGG